rnacentral:rRNA from 1 species
AGCGGAAAGGCCACUUCGGUGGUACUCGAGCGGCGAACGGGUGAGUAACACGUGAGUAAUCUGCCCUUGGCUUCGGGAUAGCCACCGGAAACGGUGAUUAAUACCGGAUAUGACAUGGUCUCGCAUGGGAUUGUGUGGAAAGUUUUUCGGCCAGGGAUGUGCUCGCGGCCUAUCAGCUUGAUGGUGAGGUAAUGGCUCACCAUGGCUUCGACGGGUAGCCGGCCUGAGAGGGUGACCGGUCACACUGGGACUGAGACACGGCCCAGACUCCUACGGGAGGCAGCAGUGGGGAAUAUUGGACAAUGGGCGGAAGCCUGAUCCAGCAACGCCGCGUGAGGGAUGACGGCCUUCGGGUUGUAAACCUCUUUCGGUAGGGACGAAGCGCAAGUGACGGUACCUACUAAAGAAGCACCGGCCAACUACGUGCCAGCAGCCGCGGUAAUACGUAGGGUGCGAGCGUUGUCCGG